CCGAUAUCCAAAGACCGCCUCUUCCAGGGCAUCCUGCCAGUCUCUCCUCAAAAGAAUUCCAUGUCUGAAGUGGCCCAAGUAAAUGUGGUCCUUUUGGGGCUGAGCCUACUGAAUAUGUGUUUAAAAGAAAAAUUCAAAAAAAAAAUGCCGUGGGACUUUCUGACACCAGGUCUUGAUUAUUAGAAAUGUGGUUCAGGAAAUUAAGGAGGAAAAAAUCAGCAAAAAUGUGAUUCUGGAAGAGCUCAAGCAAACAGGACACCAAAGUCCAAAGCUGAUUUAUUAAAUGGGUUAUCGUAACUGGCCAGGUUCUACACACUUUAGUACUCAUCCUCAUGAUUCUGUGGUCUGCUAAACCAAUGUGUCUAUUGCUCUUCAACACCCUAAAUAAAUGUUGGUAAUGUAGCCCACCAAAAUGAGUCAUACAGUCAUAAUAAAUAAACAACGGACUCAUCCAAGAUACAAAAACAUACAGGUACAUUGAUGGCAUUAAUAGCAGCACAUGGCAAUACAUAGUAAUAGUUUUGCUCUCCAGAGGCAAGAAUGAGCUGUAUUACACAAUAGAUUUUACAAUAAACAUUUGCAAAUAAUUUGUAUUUUGAUAGCGAACAAUUAUAUAGAACCCAUGUAUAUCCUGAUUUUUCUCCCCAACCUCUCUGGCUUUACCAUUCUGUGACAUCGUGUAUGUCAAUGCUGAUCUUGUAACAGACACAACUUGGAUUUAUCACACCUGCCUGGCUUAACACCUACACAAUAUCUGUGCAAGUGACAUGGAAGCCUGGCAUUCCCCCUUGCAAGCACUAAAUAUUUUAGAAGAAGGUUUUAAAACUGAAAAAUGGCGUCAUCAUCAAAUGAUCCUUGAUAAAUCCAUGACUGGGUAUCUCCCAGUGGGAGCCUUUUCCAUGUCUACUUUUCUCACCUACAGCAUGUCCUCAGCAGGAACAGCCACUCAGUUUUACCCAAUGUGUGUGUGCAUGUGUGUGCGUGUGUUUCUUCUGCCUGAUCGUCUUCAGUGAGCUAUUAGAAAUGAUAACAAAAAGAGAGCUCCGGUCCCUUAGAGCUCUCUUCUGUUCUUAGAUGUAAACCCCAAUGCCACCCUCAUCCGUAGACAGACUGCAGGUCUUCAUAUCAUUUCUAGCUCACCUGCUUCAUAGUUCUUGAUGGCUCUCAUUCAAAAAAUCUGUACUGAACAUAGCCAUGUCCCAGGGACAGAGCCAGACGCUUUGCCCUCAUUGUCUCAUGUAAUCCUCAUACUACCUGCCCUGGCAGGGGCUAUAAUUCAUUUCAUUUUGCAGAGGAGGAAACUGAGGCUCAGAAAAGUCAAGUGACUUGCCCAAGGUCCCUCAGCAUCUUUACUCAGGCUGGCCCUGCCCAGGAGCCUUUCCUUGUCAGUGGCACACCACCUAGCCUGCGGGGGGGCUGUCAUUUGGGUUGGUGGUGUCACUAUUCUCUCAGACCAGAAUCCUCAAGCUCCUCUUCACCAGGACUAUCUGUUUCUUGCCUCCUCCCCAGUCACCUGUCAUCACUCCCACCUGGGACAACCUCUCUGUCUCAUUAGGCUGUCUCUGACUAUUCAUCUGCGCCUCUACCCACUGGAGCCUGGGCGCUGCCAACUCACAAUUGCAAGGACAGUGCUUGGACCCCUCCAGGCUCCCAAGAAUCUUGCUCUGCCAUGAACUAGCUGUGUGAGUCUGGGAAAGUCAUUAAAACUCUUUUACAAUAUCUUCACAUUUAUAAUAGACAUCACAAUCCCAGCUCUAUCUCUGGAAGAAAACUCAAGUGAAAAUAGAAUGGGACUCAAAAACUGAGAUUUUGGUGGCAUAAUUCCCAUGCCAGAUUUUAUCUCCAAAAUGGCCCUGAAAUGCAAAUUUUCAUCCCAAUUUGCUUAAAAUGUGGUGUUUCUGGAUCUGAAUCCAGUGCCUGAUUUUUCCCCCAAAAUUUCCCUCUCUGCCCACAAAGAAUGAAAGUUGGUCAAUCAACUUCCCCCUGCGAAGCCUGAGUUCAUAGUCUGUGUUCCAGAAGGUGUGGCCAAGAAUUUUACUCAGUAAUAAACUCGGAAUUUCUCAUUUGUGAAAUCACCAAAAAGGAACUUUCAAUAAGGAGUCUUAUUUUUAACACCUAAAGAUCAUACUUAAUUAUUCCAAUCUUAAUUAUCUAGAUUAAGUCAUAUUCACUGAGGUAGCCAAAAAAAAACAAUUAAGUUUUGGAAGCGUAAAUUGUUGAGAAUCCUGGUGCCCAGACUCUUUCGGAUCAAAUAAAUACCCCAAAGCUUUCAACGCCUCCCCUUUGCCAUGCAAAGAAAACCCCAGCUCCUCAGCCUGACUGCCCAGUCCACUCCCAGCCGAAGUCUACCUUUCCCACCUGAAGUUCAUUUUCUCCUCCAAGAACCACAUGCUGUAGUCACUCUGGAUCAUUUGCUCUCUUCUUUUAAAGGGCCUCUUCAUUUUCCUUCCUCUGCAUUUUCCUUCAGGCCCCACCCACCCUGAAUGCCUCCCUCACUCCCCUUGACCUAACUAAAUCCAUCUAGUUCCAACCUCUACUUCUUCCGUGAAGCCUGCCCUGACGACGCCAGUCUGAACAGAUCUCUCCUUCCGCUGCCCACAAAACUCAGGAAGUAGUCUGGCCACUUCAUGAUGGAUGCUAUCAAGUCUUCCCAGGUUCCAGGUGGGCCUGCCAAAGGGUACAAGACUCAUAUUCUUUUUCUCUCCCUUUUAAAUAACUAUUGAAUUAUCAUCUUUGGAUGGCCAAUUAUUCAGCAUUUCACAAUAUAACUUCCUUCUUCCUAAAUUGUCAGUAUUUUCCAGUAUAUCAAAGAUUGGGGCUUCAGGAGAGUCUGCCAUUCCCUCACUGCCUAAUUUGGGUAAAUCACUUAAUCCUGUGAGUCUAAGUACCCUCAACUGUAACACAGAAA
ensembl:lncRNA